UAGAAACUUAGGCUAAUACUUAAACCA
rnacentral:tRNA from 1 species